GUGCUUGCUUUGGCAGCACAUAUACUAAAAUGUGGAAUGAUGCAGAGAAGAUUAGCAUGGCUCCUGCAUAAGGAUGACACACAAAUUCAUGAAGCAUUCUGUAUUAAA